AGGGUUUGAUCCUGGCUCAGAACGAACGUUGGCGGCGUGGAUUAGGCAUGCAAGUCGAGCGAGGCCAGGGGGGCAACUCCCUGAGCCGAGCGGCGAAAGGGGCAGUAAUGCGUGGGUAACCUACCUCCAGGUUCGGGAUAGCCAUCCCAACGGGUGGGUAAUACCGGACGUGGUAGCGGCGGCGCCUGUCGUUGCUACUAAAGAUUUAUCGCCUGGAGAGGGGCCCACGUGGUAUUAGCUAGUUGGUGGGGUAACGGCCCACCAAGGCUGAGAUGCCUAGCAGGUGUGAGAGCACGACCUGUGCCACUGGCACUGAGACACUGGCCAGACACCUACGGGUGGCUGCAGUCGAGGAUCUUCGGCAAUGGGCGCAAGCCUGACCGAGCGACGCCGCGUGCGCGAUGAAGGCCUUCGGGUUGUAAAGCGCUGUCGAGGGGGAGGAAAGCCGAAAGGUUUGACCUAUCCCUGGAGGAAGCACGGGCUAAGUUCGUGCCAGCAGCCGCGGUAAGACGAACCGUGCGAACGUUGUUCGGAUUCACUGGGCUUAAAGGGCGCGUAGGCGGAUUAUCAAGUCAGGGGUGAAAUCCCUCGGCUUAACCGAGGAAUAGCCUUUGAUACUGGUAGUCUUGAGGGAGGUAGGGGCCUCUGGAACUUCUGGUGGAGCGGUGAAAUGCGUAGAUAUCAGAAGGAACGCCGGUGGCGAAAGCGAGGGGCUGGAUCUCAUCUGACGCUGAGGCGCGAAAGCUAGGGGAGCAAACGGGAUUAGAUACCCCGGUAGUCCUAGCCCUAAACGAUGGGUACUAGGUUGUGGACUUGACAUGGGUUCACAGCCGAAGCAAAAGUGUUAAGUACCCCGCCUGGGGAGUAUGGUCGCAAGGCUGAAACUCAAAGGAAUUGACGGGGGCUCACACAAGCGGUGGAGCAUGUGGCUUAAUUCGAGACUACGCGAAGAACCUUAUCCUGGGCUUGACAUGUGCGAAAGCGCUAGGGAGUAGCCCGCGGAAACGUGGGGCCAACGGUAUCCAGUCCGGAACCUAGCACAGGUGCUGCAUGGCUGUCGUCAGCUCGUGUCGUGAGAUGUUGGGUUAAGUCCCGUAACGAGCGAAACCCUUGCCCCAAGUUGCGACCAGGUAAUGCUGAGCACUCUGGUGGGACUGCCGGUGUUAAACCGGAGGAAGGUGGGGAUGACGUCAAGUCCUCAUGGCCUUUAUGCCCAGGGCUGCACACGUGCUACAAUGCCACGUACAAAGGGACGCAAACCCGCGAGGGGGAGCAAGUCCCAAAAAACGUGGCCCAGUUCAGAUCGAAGGCUGCAACUCGCCUUCGUGAAGUUGGAAUCGCUAGUAAUCGCAGGUCAGCGACACUGCGGUGAAUGUGUUCCUGAGCCUUGUACACACCGACCGCCAAGCCACGAAAGGGAGGGACGGCCGAAGUCGUCUUUACAGACGCCGACGCCGGACUUCCUGAUUGGGACUAAGUCGGAACAAGGUAACCGUAGGGGA
rnacentral:rRNA from 1 species